GGCUUUAUAGUUUAAUUAGAACACUGGUUUUGUAAAUCAGGGGUGGGCUUGCCCUUAAGCCU
rnacentral:tRNA from 1 species